GAGCAGAAAGUGACAGGAAGGUCUACCUCAAGCUACUGGGUAUAGUCCUACAAGAGCGACAAAACCACUGGCCGAGAGAGACCAGUGACCAGCUGUACCUUCCAGGGAAGCAGAGUGCAGACACCAGCUCAGGGUCAGAGAGCUGUUGUCCCCUUAUCAUGCUGUCAUGGGUGGGUGCUGAUGAUGGGGAAUUAUCUUUGAGGUCAACUAGAACAAGCCAAAGCCUAGAGGAACACAGUACUCUCAAUGGCAUACACAUAAUACAAGUAGCACCCGUCAGAGGGCAGAUGAGCAUGAGUUCGAGGCCAGCCUGGAGUACCUAUGAGACCAUAUUUCAACCAAACAAACAGCCAGAAGCAUUACCUGGGCAGGAGUCGCAUUGUCCUGUUGGUGAUGGUUGUGUUGGAUAGAUUGAGAUACAGGACCCCAGGACAGCCCUCGGAAAUGUGUCUCAUGGAUUCAUCCUGCAGAACAGAAGGAGGAGAAUCAGACCAAACCCUCACAGGCUUCAUAAUGGCUCAAUCAUCUCUUAUCUCUCUUCCUGUCCCUGAAAAACAUUCAUACACAACUGGGCCCUUCAUAUACCUUGUUGUUACCCUCCUUUUUCUUUAGAAAUAAAAUUUCAACACCUCAUGAUGA
rnacentral:lncRNA from 1 species